rnacentral:rRNA from 1 species
GAUGAACGCUGGCGGCGUGCCUAAUACAUGCAAGUCGAGCGAAUGGAUUGAGAGCUUGCUCUUACGAAGUUAGCGGCGGACGGGUGAGUAACACGUGGGUAACCUGCCCAUAAGACUGGGAUAACUCCGGGAAACCGGGGCUAAUACCGGAUAACAUUUUGAACCGCAUGGUUCGAAAUUGAAAGGCGGCUUCGGCUGUCACUUAUGGAUGGACCCGCGUCGCAUUAGCUAGUUGGUGAGGUAACGGCUCACCAAGGCAACGAUGCGUAGCCGACCUGAGAGGGGGAUCGGCCACACUGGGACUGAGACACGGCCCAGACUCCUACGGGAGGCAGCAGUAGGGAAUCUUCCGCAAUGGACGAAAGUCUGACGGAGCAACGCCGCGUGAGUGAUGAAGGCUUUCGGGUCGUAAAACUCUGUUGUUAGGGAAGAACAAGUGCUAGUUGAAUAAGCUGGCACCUUGACGGUACCUAACCAGAAAGCCACGGCUAACUACGUGCCAGCCGCUGCCGUAA